CAAUAGCGUAUAUUAAAGUUGUUGCAGUUAAAAAGCUCGUAGUUGGAUUUCUGGUUGAAGCGACCGGUCGGGCGUUGAUUCGUCUGCACUGGAGUCGGUUUUGGCCAUCCUCUAGGAAAGUGCGUCUGGUAUUAAGUUAUCGGGCGUAUGAUCCUGGCCUUUUACUGUGAAAAAAUUAGAGUGUUUAAAGCAGGCCUUCGCCUUGAAUACAUUAGCAUGGAAUAAUAAGAUAGGACUUUGGUCUAUUUUGUUGGUUUGCAGACCGAAGUAAUGAUUAAUAGGGAUAGUUGGGGGUAUUUAUAUUCCGAUGUCAGAGGCGAAAUUCUUAGAUUUUCGGAAGAUAAACUUAUGCGAAAGCAUUUACCAAGGAUGUUUNCAUUA
rnacentral:rRNA from 1 species